UAUUGGACAAUGGGCGAAAGCCUGAUCCAGCAAUACCGCGUGUGUGAAGAAGGCCUUAGGGUUGUAAAGCACUUUCAAUUGGGAGGAAAACCUGCCGGUCAAUACCCGGUAGCUUGACAUUACCUUUAGAAGAAGCACCGGCUAACUCCGUGCCAGCAGCCGCGGUAAUACGGAGGGUGCGAGCGUUAAUCGGGAUUACUGGGCGUAAAGCGUGCGUAGGCGGUUCGUUAAGUCAGAUGUGAAAGCCCUGGGCUCAACCUGGGAACUGCAUUUGAAACUGGCGGACUAGAGUUUAGUAGAGGGGAGUGGAAUUUCAGGUGUAGCGGUGAAAUGCGUAGAUAUUUGAAGGAACUCCAGUGGCGAAGGCGACUCCCUGGACUAGAACUGACGCUGAGUACGAAA
rnacentral:rRNA from 1 species